rnacentral:lncRNA from 1 species
UAUCAAUAAAAAAUACUAAUAAAAAAACCUACAAUCUAUCUAUUGCCAUCAUCCAUUGGUUGAGUCUCCUCAAUAUUAAAAGGGUCCAAACACUCUGAUGAAGGUUUGACAUAGGCUGUCGACCACAUCACGCACUAAAGGAUUUGUUAAACACUAUACUCCAAGUUUCUUACGUGCUUGUUCAUGUUGGAGACAUCUUCCUUAAAUGUCUCAUAGCCCUUGGGAUUUUGUGGAGGAUCGUGCAUGACAUUGGCGAAAGGGGUUGGACUAUAAGUGAACUUCGUCAUCUGAGCUGCAUCAAGUAUUGGUGUAGUUGGCACCAUGGUGCCAAAUCCGUAGAUGUAGGUCCAUGUGUUCUUCGCCCUUCUAAUAAUAGUCAACCACGCUUGCAAAUUAAACUCCAUAUAGGACAAUGGCUAUUAACUAUACUUCUAUGAUAAUAUAGAAGUAUAUGUUUCUUACAAAAAUAAAAUAAAAUGGAUUAAUUUGUAAUUAAAUUUGUAAACAAAAUAUAAAAUUAUAACAAAAUAAAAGACUUCAUUUUUAUAAUUACUUACAUUAACAAUCAUGGGCUUGUUGUCCACAUACUCUCUGCUACCCUUAUUUCGCUUAUGGGUGUAGUGGAACAACUUAGAGAAUGUCACCAGUCUCUGCAUUGCCUUUGAUUGUAAGACAAUCAACUACAUCCAUAUUACAACUUAAUAUAUGCAAAUAUAUUAUGGAAAGUCAAGAACAGGUACCCUUCUCUUAGUAUGCACAGCAAAUGACAAGGAACCACUUGUGUGUUUCAUUAUGCUACCUUCUUUCUCUAUUAAGCAAUUUUCCUUGGCCAUCUAGGAUCGACUCUGCCACUCAUCGAUGCCCCAAACAUUAUCGAUGAGGGCAUCCCAUACAUGUGUAAAUGAAGGUGGCACCAUUGCUGGUGAAAGAACUAAAGUAGUCGCUACUAUUGUCAACGAUGGUACAAGAAGAACCAUCGUCUCAAUGGACGUUGACAUCGGUGAUGGUGGUGGUAAAUGCUACUCAACUGAAGCAGCUACAAACCUCAACCAUCCUUGGUCACUAAAAUGGUUGUACUUAACCAUAGCUGAACGAUUUGCCAAAAACAAAAUACAUUUUGAGAAUUGAGUUUGUCUUAAUUCUUCAGUACAUACAUCAUCAACAUAGCUUAAUAAACAAAAUAUCCAAAUGCUCAGAAAGUGUUGUUUAUAUUAGACAUAUGCCCUUAAAAACUAUUUUUUAUUAUUUAUUUAUUUAUUAGAUAAAUAAAUUAUUGCAUCAAUUAUUGAUUUCAUAUAUAUUACAUUUUAAUGGGUAUUUUAUUAUUUAUGACAUAUAUGAUGUGAUCAUAAAUUAGUUGGUAACAUUAUGGAAAAAUUAUGCUAAUAGUUGAGGAACUAUUAAAUGGAGAAUUAUAAAUUUUCACUUCCUUGUGUGUCAAAAUUGUUGAAGGUAAAUGUGACAAACUAUUUAAAGUCUACACUCGUUUGCCAAAAUAGUUGAUCACUUGUUUUGCCAAUGUGAAAAGACUUUGAAGGUGUGGAAGUUAUGGUGCAAUAUUUGGGGGCUUACUUGGUGUACCCUAAGGGACUCCUUGUCUUUUUUCCUCGGGUGGAAUGGCUGGAUAAUGCUAGGGGCGAGAAUAAGAUUUAGAGCAUGGCUUUCUUUUUGAUCAUAUAGACAAUUUGGCUUAUGAGGAACAGGAUUGUGUUUAAUGGCAAAAUUUGGUACUUGAGCCAAGCUUUCGAAAUGUCUAAACUAAGGGUAGGAUGAUGGGCUAAAGCCAAGUGGCCGAAUGAUAAUCCAUCGGUGCUGGAAGUGUUAAGGUUCCAAGUUAAUGCUUAUAGUCAGAGGGAAGUUACCAAGGUUAAACUAAUGUUGAGUUGGCAAUCAUUGGCUAACAAUAAGCUUAAAUUUAAUACUGAUGGAGCAUCCCAAGGGUGUGUUGACUACAUGUGUUUUUGAUGAUAACAAAACAUUCCUCAUUUAUUGAUGUCUAACCAUAUUGUUUAUACGUGUAGGAAAAAGCUUAAAUGUCUUAAUAUAAUUAGUGUUUGAAAGUAAGCCAAGAAGCUUGUUGAGUUAAAAGAUCAUUUAAUCAGUUAAACAAGUAAAAAAGAAAUGAUGCAAUGAAGACAAAUAAGUUUUGAUCAAUUAACAAGAGGCUUCAAUCAGUUAAAGCAUCAUUAGGCACUAUUCCAAAGACUAGCAAAAAGAUUUAACUAGUUAACACAAGAUUUAAUUAGUUAAGAGGGUACUGGACUCAAAAUAGAAGGUUAUUAAUUGGUUAACCAAACUGGUUAAUCGAUUAAAGGUCCAACUUGAAGUACCUAAAAAGCGCCAAAAUUCAAAAUCAAAAUGAAGUUGACCAUUGAAAGGCACCAAGUCAAAAAUUCAAAUUCAAAAAAUUUUACUCGAUUGAAGUUUAUUUCAAUCAGUUAACGUUGAAGGAAAAGAAGCUUCAAUUAGUUAAAAGAAGGAUUAAUCAAUUCAAAGGAAGCUAGUGAAAAACAAUGCUUAAAAGAAUCCGAUGACAAAAAUUUCUUAAUUGGUUAAAGCCCCCUUUAAUCAGCUAACUCAAAUGAAGAAAACUACCAAACAGAAAAGCUUUAAUUGGUUAAAGCUCACCUUAACCAAUUUAAAAACCACUGCCAACAAAUUUAAAUUUCAAAGCUAAAAAAUAAAAUAACAUCUAGGUUUGCCCCAAAACUAUUUUUAAUGGCUAGAAUCUAUCCUCCAAGUAUUUAAAAGGUUUUAAAUAGUCAAAAAUGGAGAGAGAAGCUAUCCAAAGUGAUUUUGAGCUUAGAAUAUUAUAAAACCUUUUUUUUACACUUGUAUUUCACUCCCAUCCUUUGGAAAAGUAUUUGAGCUUGAACUUGUACAUCUUAGAUUAGCUACAUGAUUAAUUGCACUUCAUCUUAUUCUUAUUUCUUGUUUGAUUAGAGUGUGCAAGGCACUUUAAGUGUUUGUUGUAAGGGUUUAAAGCUAUGGUUAAAAGCUCACAUUGUAAAAGAUUGCUGGAAGUUGUUAAUUCCACUAGCUUUCAUAAAGUUGGGUUGAAAAUCCUUGAUUGGAAAUAUCAAGGUAAUGGAUAUAGGUAAGGUGGAUUGAAUCACUAUAAAUAUUGAGUUUUGUCCACUUCUCUUAACCUUUCUUUCCUUUUUGGUCCUUAAAGAAUGCUAGAGAAGGGUGAAUAUCACUUCUAAAAAUUGUUUUAAAGUCAACUAUUUCUUUUUAAUCCUCCUUUCCUUUUCUGCCUUGUCAUUUAACUUUUUAUCAAUCCUCAUAAGCAAAUUGAUGAUCAUUUCAUUAGGAAUAGAGGGAUGACUUGCUUUAGAUGGAGGGGUUGAAGGAUUUUAAGCACUUGCUGUUCCUAGUGCACCUUUGAUGAAUUUGAUACACUCUUUGCUAGCAAGUUUGUACCUCAUCUUUUGAAGACCCCUUAGGAAGAUACCUUGAUCCUUGUUCAAUGUCUAGUCAGCUUGGUAUCUAAUACUCCAUAUUCCCUCAUUCUCUCAAUCAUAUAUCUAGCAACAUUUAAAUGGAGUUCAUUUCCUACAAAUUCCAUCAACCAAAUAUCUUGAGAGUUGACAUAGCUAAAGCUGUUAUUGCUCCUUCCAUGAAGUGUGGAGGCAAGGAAGUAGUAGAGAGUCCUCAUUUGGACAUUUUUAAUGUCACUAGCAUAACUUUUACCAUGGUAUUUUUUCUUUUUCCAUAAUAUUUGAUUAUUUACAGUUUGGAUCAUCAUGCCCAAGAGCAAAUUGUCCACAUAAUCAACUCAAUCAAGGCUCAAAUAAAAUAAGUUUAAAAAGUUUUAAACUAGUACUCGAACUAAUUAUUAAAGACUUAAUCUAGAUUAUUAUUGAAAUUUAUAGAUUAGUAUUAUAAAACUUCAACUAUAUAUAUUUCAAAUUUUACACUAUAAAAACAAUUAUUUAUAUAUAAUUGUUAUUUUAGAAAACAAGUAUUCACAUACAACACACACAAGUUGAGCAAAAAACAAAAUACAACAUUCACAUGCGUGCAUGCGCGCACACAUGCACAUGCACAUGCACAUGCACACGCACACGCACAUGCACACACACACACACACUCACACACAUAUAUAUAGAAAGGAAAGUCAUAUGCUCUUAUUCAAAAUUGUGCAUGAUGUUCUUUCGUAGAAAUAAAAUCAUAAAACACUAUAUGAAUAAAAAACUUCAGUAAUUUCUGUCUUAAUGUAGACAACAAGAUUAUUUGCAAGAAACUUGUCACAAACCAAAACCCGGGCCAUGAUCGACACAUGGACCCAAUAGGCAUAGCCCACUAAGCCCAAGCAAGCCUCUCUACGUUAACCCAUCAGUAGUCUAUCUAUCACUUCUUUUUCUUUAAGAUCUAAGACUCGUGAUUUCUAAUAACAAUUUCUUCAAAUUUAAAACGUGAAAAUCAAGUACAUACAAAGUUCAUAACAAAUCUCACAAUUUAUAUUAAACCAUCACAUAUAAACAUACAACUGACCCUUAACAACCAACAAAGUGACUCUGGGCGUGGAUGCUAUCAUUGAAAGUCGUAGUGAACUUACCGAAAGAUGAAUAGGAGGGAGCACCUCGACCUAGGAUCCAACUACCUUCGAUCCUGAAAACUAAAACAUGAAGUUGAAAAGAAUGAGUAUAAACCCAGUGAGUGAACAUAGAAAGGGAACAAGCAAAUGAUACGGAAGAUCUUUAGAAAACACGAUGCACUUGUAUUGAAACCAUGCCAUUUUUAUAUCAUAAACAAAACUCGAUGCCAUGCUAUUUUUCAACUCAAUUUGAAAACAUUUAAGAAUACAAACUUUCAAUAUACAAUUCAAUCACAUUUCAUUUUCUAAAAAUCACUACUCUAUAGGACAGGUGCACAUGUGUGUAAAAAUUCAUGUAUACAUUAUGUAUAUAUAAAUAUAUAGAUAAUUCAAACAUACACCAAAGUCAUCCCCACACUAGCCACCACGGCUCCACACAUACACCCGCCAACCUCAACUCAGCUCAUGUGCACUCCCACACCGCAUAUCGCUAAUAUCCUCAUGUGCACUCCCACACUACACAUGGCAUAUAUCAUCAUCAUGUGCUCUCCCAUACUGCACAUGGCACAUAUCAUCAUCAUGUGCUCUCCCACACCACACAUGGCAUAUAUCAUCGGCAUGCGCUCUCCCACACUGCACACUACUGGCACUGUCAUGUGCACUCCCACACCACACACGCACAGUUAUAAUUAUCAUUCAACAUUACAUUUCAAUGCAUGUCACACAUAACAACAUGCAACAAGAAUCUUUGCAUAACAAUACAUCACAUGCCACAAUUCAAUUGGGAAUUCACAUAAUAUUUCAAAUACGUAAUUCAUCACAUUAUAUGUUUAAAAACGUAAAAGUAUCACUUGUGAAAAGCUUAUUCCUGUGCAUAAAUUUUAAAAAAGUCAACCAAGGAUAUGCUAGUAUUUCAUUCAACACAUAUGCAUUUGUUCAAAACCUUUUAAAUGCAAGUUCACUCACCUUAAUAAUGUCACCUUACAAAACUAGCACCCACAAGAUGCUAAUCGAAGU